GUCAGAGCUGGGCUGUGGUGACUUCACUUAAGCACAAUGCAUUGGAUACAAUUUUAUCUGAUGUCGAAGGAGGGCUGAACUUGCUGUCUAUUGUGAAGUAGGCGUCAGUCAGAUUGUUGAUACGAAUUGGAGACUUUGGGGCUAAAGAUAUGCAGGACCCACUUUUUCCCUGGGGCAAUCCUUUGGAGUGCCAGUGCCUGCACACACAAGCAUUCACCACCCACUUCUGGCCUCCUUCCAUGCACCACAUCUACACACAACACUAUAACAUCCUUAACACUCUUUUGAGAAAUGCACAACUCUUUCCAACAGACUGCAAAAGCAGAAGGCAACAGAACCCCUAGGAGCUUCAGUCAUGGGCCAGGCCCCCAUCAUGCUGGGCAUUAUACAAACAGAACACAGAGAUGGUGUCUGCCUCAAAUAGUUUACAAUGAUGUGCUGAGAAUUUGACCCUUUUUUCCCCUUUGGCUGGAUCUUAAAUGGAGAAAAUGCGAGUUUGUUUUUAUAUUAAACAAAAAAAGUACAACUAGAUUAACAACUUACAUGUCAGGGUUUUACCUGAUGCAGUUUGAGACAGCUGAGAUGUUAUCUCAACCAUCCCUCUUGCAAUGAGAUUUAUAAUGGAAAUGCUGACAAGACUCCUAUGUUUGGAGAUGGCACCAUGCACUGCUUUAAAAACUUGUUAUGAAUGUUAAUUGGUUAUCUGAAGAGUUUUCUUUUUCCAGGUGUAGGCAGCCUAAGAGAAAGCCUCGGUAAUACAAUGUAACGAAUGCGUGAAAACAUAGGAGGCUUAUGUGAGUAUUAGAAUGGCUGGCAUUUCUGCAAACAGUGUUGCAGUUUUAUUUUCAAAGUUUAAUCAAUAAUAAGCUCUUUGAUAUUGCUAUGUACUUGGAGAACAGCAUUUCCUUAGGAUGACAGCUAAGCAACUUUCCCACGGUUUUAUAUCUAAGUUUGGGUUUUAAUCAGUCUGCUUGGGGGAUUGUCAUGAACUUCAGUUCUACACAAAAUAAAUAGAAGACAAGCCAGAAAAUGGUCAUGCAGUUAGGGUGGUAAUUGUUCACCCAUCCUGCUGGUGGUAGCCCACCAUAUUCUGGCUUUUGCAAAUUGGAGCAUUGGUGAAAUUCACGGCUGUGUCACUUAAUUCCCAUUUACUGGAAGCCCUAAUAGCUCAUGUCAGAGAGGGCUUUGAGGGCUUAAUUGGUGCAUGGGCCUUAUGCUUGCUCUCUGCGUAGGAGUGACUCUCACUCUGAGUGACAGCAGGCAAGGACAGCAGGCGACCUAUAGGUCGGGCACCAUGCUGCGGUACAGCCCCUCAGCCUAUGGACUUCCUCAAAGCCUGAAAGAGUUACUGCUGCAAGGUACCUUCCUCCUGGGCUGUCACAGCAGGACCACUGGAUCCACCUAAUCACUGAUUCCUUGCCUCUGCCUUCAGAUCUUCCCUAUGCCCCAGGCUUUUUCGGGCCCACCUGGAUCCCCUCUCAGUGGCACCAGGGGGCACAGAGAAUCAUCUGAGCAGCCAGCCCAUGUGGCACUCUCCCU